GUGGCCCGCGAGCCCCGGACACCAGCCACGAGGUGGCCCGCGCGGGGCUGGGUCCCGAUGGCUACGUGGAGGCGGGAUGGCCGGCUAACCGGCAGCCAGCGGCUGCUGUGUGCAGGGCUGGCGGGAGCGUUCAGCCUCAGCCUCACGGCGCCCCUGGAGCUCGCCACCGUGCUGGCCCAGGUUGGCGUGGCGCGAGGCCACUCCCAGGGACUGUGGGCCACUGGACGCCGAGUGUGGCUAGCCGAGGGGCCGAGGGCCCUGUGGAAGGGGAAUGGCGUGGCGUGCCUGCGCCUCUUCCCUUGCAGCAUGGUGCAGCUGGCUGCCUACCGAAAGUUUGUUGUGUUGUUCAUGGACGACCUAGGCCGUAUUUCCCAGUGGAGCUCCAUCGUGGCCGGCAGUCUCGCGGGCAUGGUCUCCAUGAUUGUCACCUACCCUACGGACCUCAUCAAAACCCGGUUGAUUGUGCAGAACAUGCUGGAGCCAUCUUACAGGGGGCUCAGCCAUGCUUUUUCUACUAUUUAUCACCAAGAAGGGUUUCUGGCCCUUUAUCGAGGGGUAUCCCUCACUGUUUUAGGUGCUGUUCCCUUCUCUGCUGGUUCCCUUCUAGUCUACAUGAACCUGGAGAAAAUCUGGAAUGGACCCCGGGACCGCUUCUCUCACCUGCAGAACUUUGCCAAUGUCUGCGUGGCUGCUGCUGUGAGCCAGACGCUUUCCUUCCCCUUUGACACCGUGAAGAGAAAGAUGCAGGCUCAGAGUCCUUAUCUUCCCCAUCAUGGAGGAGUAGAUGUCCAUUUCUCAGGAGCAGUGGACUGCUUCCGGCAGAUAGUGAAGACCCAAGGGGUCCUGGGCCUCUGGAGCGGACUGACAGCUAACUUACUGAAGGUCGUUCCAUAUUUUGGAGUUAUGUUUAGCAUGUUUGAAUUCUGUAAAAGAAUUUUUCUUUAUCAAAAUGGUUACAUCCUGUCCCCACUGACCUACAAACUGACCCCAGGGGUGGACCAAAGUUUGCAGCCCCAGGAGUUGCGGGAACUAAAGAAGUUCUUCAAGCCCAGAAAACUGGAAUCUAAGAAACCAACUCUGUAGAGCUGAAUGGACGGCGUGCAGCAGUCGCAAGUGACUACGCCCUCCUCCUAACUGUGCACAUCAGGAGGAAUGAGAGGGUCCUUCUGCCUGCUGCUCUUGGAGAUGUGACCACGAGGCCAUACAUCACAUCAGAACCCCAAAUUUUCCCUGUGAAUACCUGUGCCUUGAGAAGCUUUUGUGACACUGCUCUGUCACAUGGCGCUCCACCAGACUGUACGGAAGCCUAGUGGCAAUCAGAUGUGCAGGAUAUGGCAUCUUGCAGCUGAAGAAGCAGAGCAGAGACCAUGUCACAAGCCCAGUCCCCAGAGUCCAGAGGUGAAACAAGAUGUUCUGCCUUCCUAACUUCUGGUUGCCAGUGUGUACCUCCCAGCACUAAGAACCUCAGAAGAAUCAUAAAGAAGUGCGGUGUGCUAGUCACCCAGGAAGAACUUAAGAAGAAAACAUACCUGCACCCAGGAAUGUCUAGGGCUACAGAGCAAAGCCAAGCACAGCAUGACAGAGUGGCAUCUCCUACCAACAGGGCGGCCAUGGGGCUAGUAAUGAGUAGGGGCUCUGAGGUAAUGAGUCUUGAAUUAGGCUUAGGUUGUUUGGGUUUUGUUAACAGGAGAAUUCCACUUGUUUUAUACUGUGCCUGGUUUUGAACGGAUUUGUUUUUUGUAAACUUUCAUUUUAUUGCUAUUUUAUUUUCUUUUUCACAGGAGUUGUUCUGAGACAGGAUUUCACUCUGCAGUCCAUUUGGGCAGGGAUGAAACUGUGUAUUCCAGGGUGGCCUCAAACUCAUGACAAUCCUCUUGCCAUAGCCUGGUGACUGCUGGAAUUAAAGGCGAGAAGAGGGCACCAGACCUCAUCACAGAUGGUUGUGAACCACCAUGUGGUUGCCGGGAAUUGAACUCAGGACCUUUGGAAGAGCAGGCAAUGCUCUUAACCACUGAGCCGUCUCUCCAGCCCCUGUUUAGUUAUUUUGAGACAGUUUCUCACUGUGCAGUCCCAGCGGGCUUCAGACUCCCAGGCUUACUGCCUCACCCUCCAGAGUGCUGGGACUCCAGGUACAUACCCCAAGUCCAGCUUCCUCUUGAUGACUGCUCUGCACAUUCCAGCCACUAAAUUACUAAUGACUCCCUUCUUUAUAAAUCACUGUGCUUCACUUCCCUGUGGCAUCUCUCAGCCAGGUUUCCCUUUCCUUGACCACGUCAGCCAGAAGCCCCAUCCCACAGUGUCUGAACAAUGCGUAUAGUAUUGUGUUUUCUGUUUGUAUAAAGUUCAUUUUAUUACCCGCCUUCUAGGCAUUGGUACAUAGAAAUCCAACGCGCUCGGUAUUGCUUGAGCUUUUUCCUGUCUUCCUUCUUCAGAACUACUAGACAGUGCCUUAGCUUCAGUUCAUGUUUAUCACACUUAUGUUUUCCGUAACUGCCAGAGACACAACAGUCACUAACAUGACCCCACCGUGUCUCACUGGAGAAGUGAAUUUUUAAUGAACUGACCAAAUAUAGAUCGUCAAUAUACUCAUCAUCACUGAUAUUAUUCUCUGUUCUCCUGACCUCUUGUUCCUGUUUUUUUUUUUUUUCUUUUGAUAAUUUUUAACUUUCUGACUUAGAAAAAAUGUUGCAGUCUGGGUCGUAGUGGCACACGCCUUUAAUCCCAACACUUGGGAGGCAGAGGCAGGUGAUCUCUGUGAGGCCAUCCUGGUCUACAG